rnacentral:rRNA from 1 species
CCUACGGGAGGCAGCAGUGGGGGAUAUUGCACAAUGGGCGCAACCCUGAUGCAGCGACGCCGCGUGGACGAAGAAGUCUUUCGGUAUGUAAAGCCCUAUCAGCAGGGAAGAAGCAAUGACGGUACCUGCGCCAGAAGCCCCGGCCAAAUACGGGCCAGCAGCCGCGGUAAUACGUAUGGUGCCAGGGUUAUCCGGAUUUACUGGGUGUAAAGGGAGCGCAGGCGGGACGGCAAGCCUGAUGUGAAAGCCCGCGGCCCAACCGGGGGACUGCAUUUGGAACUGUCGGGUUGGAGUGCCGGAGAGGUAGGCGGAAUUCCUAGUGUAGCGGUGAAAUGCGUAGAUAUUAGGAGGAACACCAGUGGCGAAGGCGGCCUACUGGACGGUGACUGACGCUGAGGCUCGAAAGCGUGGGGAGCAAACAGGAUUAGAUACCCUUGUAGUC